AUUAUUAAUUAAAAGAUACACCACCUAGAGGAUGGCUUGGCUGCAAUAACCAUGAAGGCCGUGGCAAGCUGCGAUAAGCUUUGGAUAGUCGCAAGUCAGACGUUGAACCAAAGAUUGCCGAAUGGUGUAAGCUGCUUUAAAACAGCUUACAUGUACACGCAGGGAAUUGAAAUAUCUUAGUACCUGCAGGAAAAGAAAGCGAAAGCGAUAUAGUUAGUAACACGAGUGAAAGCUAUAGAGGGCAUCCUGAAUCUGUUUUUGUAAAAAGGCAGAGAUGUGGGGUAGCGUUGAUCCCAAAUAUGAGCCGAACACUUUGAAAAGAGCGACCAUAGAGAGUGAUAGUCUCGUAGGUUAAGUACGAGGGACUUGCUACAUUAGAGUAAUUCCGGUUGAUUAAUCGGAGUGAAUAUGGGGGCAUUAAACCCUAACCCUAAAUAUUGAUUGCAGACCGAUAGCGAACAAGUAGCGUGAGCGAAAGCUGAAAAGAACCCGCGCGUGCGGGAGUGAAAUAGAUCUGAAACUAGGUGGUAACACGAAGAUAAGGCGCGAAAGGAAUGAAGUGCACAGAAGCUAUGUCCGAGAGAACUAUGCGAAGUGUAACUGAACAGUGUCUUGUCAUUCUUCUCGAAGUAAGAGCCAAGGAGUGUAUAUUUGUGGCGAGUCGAAAGGCGGAGCGAAAGCGAUAGUACGCAGCAUGCUUGUCAUGUCAGGUACAUGGUAUGAAAAUGCCAGAGCCACAUUUAUACGACCCGAAGCCAUUGUGAUCUAUGCGUGCCCAAGGUGAAGCUAGGUUAACGCCUGGUGGAGGCCUGCAACUUCUCAUAGCAUGUCUUGUUAGGUGAGGUACGCAUAGCGGCGAUAUACCACUCGAACAUGGCAAUAGCGGGUCCCUUCUGAAGUAUCUUUAGGAUAGCUCCAGGCGAGCUUGCAUAUGCGGUAGAGCCACCGAUUAAGAGGAAUGGGGUCGAAAGGCCUCACCGCUUCGUCAAACUCCGAAUGCAUAUGCUGUGUAGACCCUGGGAGUCGGCGAUGCUGGGUAAGCUAGCACCGCGAGACUACAAAGAUAGUGACCGAGGUUAAGGUCCCCAAAUCCUAAUUAAGUGUAUCAAAGGCGAGGAAUAUCUUAGACAGCUGGGAGGUAGGCUCAGAAGCAGCCAUCCUUUAAAAAACGAGUAAUAGCGUACCAGUCAAGGUAUACCUUUCCUAAAAUAUACGGGGCUAAAUUAGGUACCGAGACCCCGGUGUGCGAAAGCACAGGUAAGAAGGCGUACGGUAUGAUGAGAAGUAUGUUUGGAAGGACAUAUGGAUCGUAUCGUAGAGAAUAUCUUGGUGUUAGUAAUAGCAUAUAUGGGUGAGAAUCCCAUACGCCGUAAGCACACGGGUUUCUUCGCAACGCUCGUCAGCGGAGAGUUAGGCGAUCCUAAGUCUUAGGCCAACAACCGAGAGACAAAAGGGAAGCUGGUUAAUAUUCCAGCCCCUAACAGGUAGGUGUGGCAACACAAGGCAGAUUUCUGACGGUUGGGGAUAUGUCCGUAAGAAGAUGCAAAGGGCUGCAGAGUCUCGUUAUGAGGAGAAGCAGCUAAAUGAAUCGUUGGACUGAGUUCUUGAUCCAGUGAAAAGGAAAUCUGCAACGACCCUGUUAGUUCGUACCUAGAACUAGUACAAGUGUUGCUAGCUUAAAAAGCCAAGGCGUGUUGGAUGUAACCCAGGUUAGGGAAUUCGGCAAGUUAGUGGCAUAAGUUUUCGAUAAGCCAUGUCUGCGCCUAGUAAGCGCAGAUAUCAUUUACAAGGGAACAACGACUGUUUAUUUAAAACACAACUCACCGCAAAGCCGAAAGGCUAAGUACAGUGGGUGACGCCUGCUCACCACUAGUACGUGAAUACCCGUUUCAACGGGAGUAAGCGCUAGUAAAGAGCGGGAGUAACUCUGACUCUCUUAAGGUAGCGUAAUACCUCGUCACUUAAUAGGUGACUUGCAUGAAUGGCGUAACGAUUGUUCCACUGUCCCAACCUGGGAUCCAAUGAACUCACUACGCGGUGAACAUGCCGCGAUCCAUCAGUGGGAAAUGAAGUCUCUAUGAAGCUUGACUAUAGCCUGUAGUUGUUGCAUGUCUUGUUAUACAUAGCGUAAGUGGGAGCGUCGAUAUUUGGGCUCUGGCCCAAAUGGAGCACCAAUGUAACACCACUUAUAACUUGCCAUACAGCUAACUAGAAAUAGGACAUCUGCAGGUGGAUAGUUAGACUGGACGGUCGCUUUCGAUAAGGAAACGAAAGUGGCCAAUGCUCUGCUUAGAUGAGUUGGAAACUCAUCGGUAAGCUCAAAGGCAAAUGCAGGGCUGACUGUAUACUGAAAAGCGUGGUAUGCAGACUGGAAACAGGGGCUUAACGAACUUUGGUAGCUCUUUUAAUGGGGCUCCAAGCUGUCAGACAAGUUACUCUAGAGGUAACUGAUUUGUAGCCGGUGAGAGUUCACAUCGACCCGGCUGUUUGAUACCUCGAUAUGGGCUUGAGUUAUCCUGGUGGUACACAAGCUGCCAAGGGUUGGGCUGUACGCCCAUCAAAAACUCACAUGAGCUGCGUUUAGUACGUCGCGAGACAGUACGGUAAGAUCUACUGAUGGUGUCAGUGCCGGAGGGUAAGAUCUUCCUAGUACGAGAGGAACGGAAGAUCGGCGCCACUGGUGUACCGGUUGUGAUUGCAUUGCCGGGUAGCUACGCGCCAGAUGAAUAAGUCCUGAAAGCAUCUAAGGACGAAGUCAGACCCGAAACGAGGCACUAGGGCGGUCGCAAUAGACGACUUUGAUAGGAUGGGUGCGUAAGUAGGGAGCUUCGGCGACCUAUGAACAUUCCAUUACUAAAGCCUAAUUAAUUAUAAUC
rnacentral:rRNA from 1 species